GAUUAUUGAUUUCGAUGAAAGAUUCACGUCUGUUUGUGCAGCAUUUUCAGGAGGAAAAAAAAUGAGAAAUUGGACCAUUGAAGCACAAGUCAAGCCGCAACUUUUGACUGAUUGUCUCUAACGUGGGUCCUACCUACAGCAUCAACGGUCAAUUUUGAAGGCAUCAAACACGAGUCAAUCUGUUGAAAUUAUCAAUUAGGAUUUUGGAAUGAGAGAAUGGGAAUCAAAAUCCCCAAUUUGAUUAUCAAUUCCACGUUUGUUGUUAUGUUUUAUAUUGGUGAUUAUUAAGUGUUUAAUGAUUGCCCAGAUUUAUGCUAUAUGUUUGUUUAUGAAUUGCCUUGUUAUUCUUCCAGUUUGGCAAAUAUAAAUACAAUUUUGCAAAUUAAUUCAUUUUCCCCUUAUUUUCCCUUGCUUAAGUUUAUCAUUUAUGAAAAAAUCUUGAUGUAGGUAAUUGGGGGCAGAAGACUCAGAUAUUUUUCGACAAUGUGUUAAUAGUAAAUUCAUAUUUUGAUGCUUGUAUCUUUUAUGAAGUCUUAGUUGAAAUCAAAGGUUGGUGUUUGAUGUAAUGUUUUGAUUGACAUUUGUCUGCAGAGUUGGCCUUGGUGGUGGUGGUGGUGGAGGAGGAAUGGUUGAAUUUGCAAAAACUAAUAUAUUUUAAGAUUUUGAUUGAGCGUUUGUUAUUUUCAUUUUUAUUUUCUAUCUCUUUUUUGAGUGACAAACAUCACC
rnacentral:lncRNA from 1 species